AAAGUCGUAACAAGGUUUCCGUAGGUGAACCUGCGGAAGGAUCAUUACAAAUCUUUGCGCAUGCUUUUUAUUAAGGCAUGCACAACAUUAGCACAAGGUCGCAAGACUUUGAUGUUUACGCUUAUGUGUUUGACAGAGUAUAUAAUGGUUACAGAAAAAUAUAGACAACUUUUAACAAUGGAUCUCUUGGCUCUU
rnacentral:misc_RNA from 1 species